AACUUGCCAGGUAAUCACAGGUGUUAUAUGAAACUUGCCAGGUACUCACAGUUGUAAUAUGAAACUUGCCAGGUACUCACAGUUGUAAUAUGAAACAAAUACCCCAAAAUGGGCAUGAAACUCGCCAGGUACUCACAGGUGUAAUAUGAAACAAAUACCCCAAGAUGGGCAUGAAACUUGCCAGGUACUCACAGGUGUAAUAUGAAACAAAUACCCCAAGAUGGGCAUGAAACUUGCCAGGUACUCACAGGUGUAAUAUGAAACAAAUACCCCAAGAUGGGCAUGAAACUUGCCAGGUACUCACAGGUGUAAUAUGAAACAAAUACCCCAAGAUGGGCAUGAAACUUGCCAGGUACUCACAGGUGUAAUAUGAAACAAAUACCCCAAGAUGGGCAUGAAGCUUGCCAGGUACUCACAGGUGUAAUAUGAAACAAAUACCCCAAGAUGGGCAUGAAACUUGCCAGGUACUCACAGUUGUAAUCAGGAUCUCCACAUAUUUUUGUGUAAAUAAGUCAUCUUAUCCAUUUGUACCAACAAUGCUGACUCUGUUUAUGUACCAAUGAUAGUCUCUAUUAGUAAAUUAUAGUUCAUAUGGAUUAUAUCUGAUUUUGAAAAGAUUAUGUGGCCGGUUUGGGGAUUGAAUCUGCGAUCCACAGAUUGGUAGUCAGGUGCUCAACCAACUGAGCAAGCUGGCCCAGUUUUAUCAUGUUUGAAAAAAAUAACACUACAAAAACAUUACACCUAAAGAUGAAACUAUUAACCCUUUGCCACUUAGAUACGUACUUUUACGCUUAUUAGAAAGUUUAAUUGAAUUAGAGACCUGUCUCACUAGAUUGAAGUUGUAAAAGCUUCAUUUCCAACCCUUAGAUACUGAUGAGCAGCAAACAGCAUAAAACCUGAACAGACUGCGAGUUACUCGCAGGCUGUUCUGGUUUUAUUCUGUUUGCACACAGCCAUUUUCACUUUGAUUGUGAGCAGGAUAGGGUUAAAUAAAGUACCCAAAAAUGGCUGUGGAGCUUCUAGGUAUAAAUAUACAUUACCUGCUAAAUUGAAUUAUGAGGA